rnacentral:rRNA from 1 species
CCUACGGGAGGCAGCAGUGAGGAAUAUUGGUCAAUGGUCGGGAGACUGAACCAGCCAAGCCGCGUGAGGGAGGAAGGUACAGAGUAUCGUAAACCUCUUUUGUCAGGGAACAAAGACUGGGACGCGUCCCCGGAUGAGUGUACCUGAAGAAAAAGCAUCGGCUAACUCCGUGCCAGCAGCCGCGGUAAUACGGAGGAUGCGAGCGUUAUCCGGAUUUAUUGGGUUUAAAGGGUGCGCGGGCGGUCUGUUAAGUCAGCGGUAAAAGCUCGGGGCUCAACCCCGACCCGCCGUUGAAACUGGCAGUCUCGAGUUGGAGAGAGGUAUGCGGAAUGCGCGGUGUAGCGGUGAAAUGCAUAGAUAUCGCGAAGAACUCCGAUUGCGAAGGCAGCAUGCCGGCUCCACACUGACGCUGAGGCACGAAAGCGUGGGUAUCGAACAGGAUUAGAUACCCUUGUAGUC